UUUAUUUUUCUGCGUCCAACAUCUGACUAUUCGUCUUAUUUAAGAUUUUUUCGAUUAAUAUUUUUAUUAUAACUAGAUGAUAAAAUAUAAAUAAUAUUUUAUACAUGACUAAAUUUUUAAAGCUUUUGUAUAAAUUUUUCAAAUAAGACAAAUGGUCAAGGACACGAAAAA
rnacentral:pre_miRNA from 1 species